UACGUAGGUGGCGAGCGUUGUCCGGAUUUACUGGGCGUAAAGAGCGCGCAGGCGGUCGUUCAAGUCGCGUGUGAAAGCCCCCGGCUCAACUGGGGAGGGUCACGCGAUACUGAUCGACUCGAAGGCAGGAGAGGGUAGUGGAAUUCCCGGUGUAGUGGUGAAAUGCGUAGAUAUCGGGAGGAACACCGGUGGCGAAGGCGGCAUCCUGGACCAACACUGACGCUGAGGAGCGAAAGCCAGGGGAGCAAACGGG
rnacentral:rRNA from 1 species